UGCAGUCGAGCGGAUCUUCAUUAGCUUGCUUUUGAAGAUCAGCGGCGGACGGGUGAGUAACACGUGGGCAACCUGCCUGUAAGACUGGGAUAACUUCGGGAAACCGGAGCUAAUACCGGAUAAUCCUUUCCCUCACAUGAGGGAAAGCUGAAAGACGGUUUCGGCUGUCACUUACAGAUGGGCCCGCGGCGCAUUAGCUAGUUGGUGAGGUAAUGGCUCACCAAGGCAACGAUGCGUAGCCGACCUGAGAGGGUGAUCGGCCACACUGGGACUGAGACACGGCCCAGACUCCUACGGGAGGCAGCAGUAGGGAAUCUUCCGCAAGGACGAAAGUCUGACGGAGCAACGCCGCGUGAACGAUGAAGGCUUUCGGGUCGUAAAGUUCUGUUGUCAGGGAAGAACAAGUACCGGAGUAACUGCCGGUACCUUGACGGUACCUGACCAGAAAGCCACGGCUAACUACGUGCCAGCAGCCGCGGUAAUACGUAGGUGGCAAGCGUUGUCCGGAAUUAUUGGGCGUAAAGCGCGCGCAGGCGGUUCCUUAAGUCUGAUGUGAAAGCCCCCGGCUCAACCGGGGAGGGUCAUUGGAAACUGGGGAACUUGAGUGCAGAAGAGGAGAGCGGAAUUCCACGUGUAGCGGUGAAAUGCGUAGAGAUGUGGAGGAACACCAGUGGCGAAGGCGGCUCUCUGGUCUGUAACUGACGCUGAGGCGCGAAAGCGUGGGGAGCGAACAGGAUUAGAUACCCUGGUAGUCCACGCCGUAAACGAUGAGUGCUAAGUGUUAGAGGGUUUCCGCCCUUUAGUGCUGCAGCAAACGCAUUAAGCACUCCGCCUGGGGAGUACGGCCGCAAGGCUGAAACUCAAAGGAAUUGACGGGGGCCCGCACAAGCGGUGGAGCAUGUGGUUUAAUUCGAAGCAACGCGAAGAACCUUACCAGGUCUUGACAUCCUCUGACAACCCUAGAGAUAGGGCGUUCCCCUUCGGGGGACAGAGUGACA
rnacentral:rRNA from 2 species